rnacentral:rRNA from 1 species
AGGACGAACGCUGGCGGCGUGCUUAACACAUGCAAGUCGAGCGGUGAUCCUCCUUCGGGAGGUGAUCAGCGGCGAACGGGUGAGUAACACGUGGGCAACCUGCCCCUCACACUGGGAUAACCUCGGGAAACCGGGGCUAAUACCGGAUACGACCUCGAGCGGCAUCUCUUGAGGUGGAAAGCUCCGACGGUGAGGGAUGGGCCCGCGGCCUAUCAGCUUGUUGGUGGGGUAAUGGCCUACCAAGGCGACGACGGGUAGCCGGCCUGAGAGGGCGACCGGCCACACUGGGACUGAGACACGGCCCAGACUCCUACGGGAGGCAGCAGUGGGGAAUCUUGCGCAAUGCGCGAAAGCGUGACGCAGCAACGCCGCGUGGGGGAAGAAGGCUCUCGGGUUGUAAACCCCUUUCAGUUGGGACGAAGCUUCGUCGGUUAAUAGCCGGCUGGAGUGACGGUACUUCACAAGAAGCACCGGCUAACUACGUGCCAGCAGCCGCGGU